rnacentral:tRNA from 1 species
AUCUCUGUAGCCCAACGGAUGGCGCGUUGGACUCCUAAUCCAAAGGUUGUGGGUUCGAAUCCUACCUGGGAUG